rnacentral:lncRNA from 1 species
GUUCUUCAUGCCUCUAAGUCCAUUCUUUGGGUUUGGACAGGUGAGCAUGUUUCUCACAACCUGGGGGCCUGUCUGGGAUCUCUGUGCCUGCAUGGAGUGGGACUCUGGCCAAGAGGGGAGACAUGUCCUACUCAAUUUAGGUGGCCUGCUCUGUCGGGCAUCCCGGCUCCCCACAGAAGCCAUAGACAAACCCAAGACUUAUUCAGGAGACAGUUGAGAUGACACAGGGAGAAAAGCGGGCAUCGUGGCAACCAGGCAACCUUGUGUGUGAGCCAAGGUGGAAAAUUGGACUGUUAAAAAGACUUCUAACUCAAACUCCACCUCUUAAGUUUGUGGUUCACCACUUCCAG